rnacentral:rRNA from 1 species
GACAGAGGGUGCUAGCGUUGUUCGGAAUUACUGGGCGUAAAGGGCGCGUAGGCGGCCCGUUUAGUCGGGUGUGAAAUCCCGGGGCUCAACCCCGGAACUGCAUUCGAUACUGGCGGGCUUGAGACCGGAAGAGGUGGGUGGAAUACCCAGUGUAGAGGUGAAAUUCGUAGAUAUUGGGUGGAACACCGGUGGCGAAGGCGGCUCACGGGUCCGGCUCUGACGCUGAGGCGCGAAAGCGUGGGGAGCAAACAGG